GACACACCCCUCUGGGGCAAGACUUGCUUCAAUGGGGCUUUGGUGCCCACUGAGUCUGCCCCUUGAGUGUGUCCUU
rnacentral:pre_miRNA from 1 species